rnacentral:rRNA from 1 species
CACUCCUGCGGGAGGCAGCAGUGGGGAAUUUUGGACAAUGGGCGAAAGCCUGAUCCAGCAAUGCCGCGUGAGUGAAGAAGGCCUUCGGGUUGUAAAGCUCUUUUGUCAGGGAAGAAACGGUGAGAGCUAAUAUCUCUUGCUAAUGACGGUACCUGAAGAAUAAGCACCGGCUAACUACGUGCCAGCAGCCGCGGUAAUACGUAGGGUGCAAGCGUUAAUCGGAAUUACUGGGCGUAAAGCGUGCGCAGGCGGUUUUGUAAGUCUGAUGUGAAAUCCCCGGGCUCAACCUGGGAAUUGCAUUGGAGACUGCCAGGCUAGAAUCUGGCAGAGGGGGGUAGAAUUCCACGUGUAGCAGUGAAAUGCGUAGGUAUGUGGAGGAACACCGAUGGCGAAGGCAGCCCCCUGGGUCAAGAUUGACGCUCAUGCACGAAAGCGUGGGGAGCAAACAGGAUUAGAAACCCUUGUAGUCCCAUG